GCCAGCAGCAUACCACCCUGCAUACCACUGCUGGCUUGCUUCAGAAGCUAAGAAGGGGUUGGUUCUGGUCAGUCACUGAAUGGGAGACCAGAUGCUGCUGGAA
rnacentral:rRNA from 1 species